CAGUCGAACGAGUUCUCGUUGAUGAUCGGUGCUUGCACCGAGAUUCAACAUACAACGAGUGGCGGACGGGUGAGUAACACGUGGGUAACCUGCCCUUAAGUGGGGGAUAACAUUUGGAAACAGAUGCUAAUACCGCAUAGAUCCAAGAACCGCAUGGUUCUUGGCUGAAAGAUGGCGUAAGCUAUCGCUUUUGGAUGGACCCGCGGCGUAUUAGCUAGUUGGUGAGGUAAUGGCUCACCAAGGCGAUGAUACGUAGCCGAACUGAGAGGUUGAUCGGCCACAUUGGGACUGAGACACGGCCCAAACUCCUACGGGAGGCAGCAGUAGGGAAUCUUCCACAAUGGACGCAAGUCUGAUGGAGCAACGCCGCGUGAGUGAAGAAGGCUUUCGGGUCGUAAAACUCUGUUGUUGGAGAAGAAUGGUCGGCAGAGUAACUGUUGUCGGCGUGACGGUAUCCAACCAGAAAGCCACGGCUAACUACGUGCCAGCAGCCGCGGUAAUACGUAGGUGGCAAGCGUUAUCCGGAUUUAUUGGGCGUAAAGCGAGCGCAGGCGGUUUUUUAAGUCUGAUGUGAAAGCCCUCGGCUUAACCGAGGAAGCGCAUCGGAAACUGGGAAACUUGAGUGCAGAAGAGGACAGUGGAACUCCAUGUGUAGCGGUGAAAUGCGUAGAUAUAUGGAAGAACACCAGUGGCGAAGGCGGCUGUCUGGUCUGUAACUGACGCUGAGGCUCGAAAGCAUGGGUAGCGAACAGGAUUAGAUACCCUGGUAGUCCAUGCCGUANACGAUGAAUGCUAGGUGUUGGAGGGUUUCCGCCCUUCAGUGCCGCAGCUAACGCAUUA
rnacentral:rRNA from 1 species